rnacentral:rRNA from 1 species
GUGCCAGCAGCCGCGGUAAUACGUAGGGGGCUAGCGUUGUCCGGAUUUACUGGGUGUAAAGGGCGCGCAGGUGGAUUUUCAAGUCAGAGGUGAAAUCUCACGGCUUAACCGUGAAACUGCCUUUGAUACUGUUAAUCUUGAGUUCGAAAGAGAGAGACGGAAUUCCAGGUGUAGUGGUGAAAUACGUAGAUAUCUGGAAGAACACCAGUUGUGAAGACGGUCUCUUGGUUCGAUACUGACACUCAGGCGCGAAAGCGUGGGUAGCAAACAGGAUUAGAUACCCCUGUAGUCC